rnacentral:rRNA from 1 species
UAGAGAUACGUCCUCCCUUGUGGUUUGUAUACAGGUGGUGCAUGGUUGUCGUCAGCUCGUGUCGUGAGAUGUUGGGUUAAGUCCCGCAACGAGCGCAACCCUUGUCUUAUGUUGCCAGCAUUUGGUUGGGGACUCAUGAGAGACUGCCGGGGUCAACUCGGAGGAAGGUGGGGAUGACGUCAAAUCAUCAUGCCCCUUAUGUCCAGGGCUUCACACAUGCUACAAUGGUCGGUACAACGCGCAGCGACACUGUGAGGUGGAGCGAAUCGCUGAAAGCCGGCCUUAGUUCGGAUUGGGGUCUGCAACUCGACCCCAUGAAGUCGGAGUCGCUAGUAAUCGCAGAUCAGCAACGCUGCGGUGAAUACGUUCCCGGGCCUUGUACACACCGCCCGUCACGUCAUGAAAGUUGGUAACACCCGAAGCCAGUGGCUCAAACUCGUUAGGGAGCUGUCGAAGGUGGGAUCGGCGAUUGGGACGAAGUCGUAACAAGGUAGCCGUACCGGAAGGUGCGGCUGGAUCACCUCCUUUCUAAGGAG